CUUUUUAAGCUCCUCCCCUUUUCUUACCAUAUUUACUCCUUAGGAGUGAGAGGUUAGAAGUUCUUUGCCCCAGCUAGAGAUAUCAUAGCAGAUUUCUACUUACACAACUUCCCUGUUUCUCUCAGUAAUUGUUUUCUUCCCCAGAGAAGAGUUAAUACUGUUUGUAAUUCCUAAAGCCCCUAAAAUGAAAAUGUACACACUUAUUCUUGUUCUUCUACGUAAACUAUCAGGAGGAAAUAAAAUCAUGCCACAUAACGAUUUAAUUUUUAUGUUUUUAGAGACAGGGUCUAGCUUGGUUGUCCAGGCCGACAUGCAGUGGUGUGAUCAUAGCUCACUGUAACCUUAAACCUGUCGGCUCAAGUGAUUCUCCCACCUCAGUCUCCUGAAUAGCUCGGACUACAGGCACACACCAUGUCCAGCUAUUUUUUUUCGUAGAGAUGAGGUCUUGCCAUGUUACCCAGGUUGGUCUCCAACUCCUGGGCUCAAGUGAUCUUCCCAGCUUGGCUUCCCAAUGUGCUGGGAUUACCUGCAUGAGCCAGCAUAGCUGGCCACUCAUAACCUUUCAGUCAACAACAGAUGUCAUACAUAGUAUUGGUCUCACAGUAUUAAAAUACUGUAUUUUUACUUUUUUUCUGUUUAGAUACACAAAUAUUUACCAUUGUGUUACAGUUGCCUACAGUAUUUGGUACAGUAACAUGCUGUGUAAGGGUUUGUAGCCUAGGAGCAAUAGACUAUAUAGAUCAUCUAGCCUACGUGUGUAGUAGGCUGUACCAUCUAGGUUUGUGUAAGUACACUGUGAUGAUCCCAUGACAGAAUCACCUGAUGGCUCAUUUCUCAGAACAUAUCCCUAUCCUUAAGUGAUUGAUGACUAUAUUUUUAUUUUGUACAAAGAUGUACUUCUGAAAACCUAAGUUUAAGUCAACUUUUGUGAGUUGUAUAAUUUCAAAUAUCUUAGCUAGGUGUGUUAGAGAAAUUCUGUGAUAAUUUUGUAGAACAAAGGCUCUGUAAUUUUCUAAUUUUAUUAAUUAUAUAAAUCUAGAGAUCUUAAGUUGGGUUUGCUUAAAGUGAAGCAUACUUUUUGUUGCCUGUUUUGCAUUUAGGUAUUAAACUGAGUUGUACAGUCUGUUUAAUUUAGGUUACUAAAUUUAUUCCCCUUAUUAUAGCACUCUUAACUUCCAUUGUUCCAAAGGAAAAUUUAAUGCUGAGGAACUUUGCCUUGAUGAAAAUGUGGUUUUUUAAAAUACCCAGGUAUAGGCCAGGUGUGGUGGCUUAUGCCUAUAAUCCCAGUACUGUGGGAGGCCAAGGCAGGAGGAUCACUUGACGCUAGGAGUUUGAGACCAGCCUGGGCAACAUAGCAAGACCCCAUUACUACAGAAAAAAUAAAAACCAAUUAGCCAGGCAUGGUGAGCAUGUGCUUGUAGUCCCAGCUAUUGGGGAGCAAGAGCCUGAGGCAGGAGGAUGGCUUGAGUCCAGGGGUUCGAGGCUGCAGUGAGCUAUGAUCAUGCCACUCCAGCCUGAGCAACAGAGCAAGACCUUGUCUAAAAAUAAAAUUAAAUUAAAAAAUCCAGUUAGAGAGGAUAAGCGUAUUUUACGAAUAAAGCAAAGCAAAGUCUAGAAUUGGCUUCCCUGUGCAAGAAUACCAUAUUACUGUUUGGAAAAGAUAAGUUGCUACCUCUAGACCAACAGUCAAGGGCCCUUCAGCCCUGGCGGAGAAAACAUACACUAUUCGUUUAAAAAAUGAAAAUAAGCUGUUUAGCAUUGCCAGUAUUCUUCCUAAAUAAUAAUUCUAUCAAGACACCCUAGAAUAGAAAAUGUCCUGUUUCCAUGUUCUUUGUAAUGUCUACCUUUUUUUAACACUAUAAAUCUUAGAUGGCAAGAAUAACAAUAUUAAGAAUUAAAAUUUGUUACAAUGUUUAUAAAAAUCUCAGGAUAUGUUGUUUUUUAAAAUAUCUUAUUUUUAUAAGCUCUCACAUCCAGUAUGCAGUUAUUUAUUCCAAAUACUUUCCCUCCUUACCUCCCCCCACCUCCCUUGCUGCUUAGAUGGUGGUCUGUCGGAGAAUCAAUGUUCUUUUUGUCUACCCAUCUCCCUUCAGUCUUAAUAAAAGGUCUUAAACAGUUACAUGAGAACCAAAAAAACAACCCAACGCUUUUGGAGAAUAAAUCAGGAUCUGGAGUUCCAAACAGUAAUACCAAUUCCAGUGUGCAGCAUGUUCAGAUAAGAGUUGCCCGCUUGGAAGAUAAUACAGCCAUCUCUUCUAGCCCCAUGGCAGCAUUGCAGAUUCCAGUCCAGAUCACCCAUGUUUCUUCAGCAGACUCUCCUGCUACCGUUGACUCAGAAACAAUAACACUAAACAGUGGAACACUACAGACAUUUGAGAUUCUUCCCUCUUUCCAUCUACAGCCCACUGGCACUCCAGGCACCUACCUACUUCAAACAAGCUCAAGCCAAGGCCUUCCCCUAACUCUGACUGCUAGUCCCACAGUAACCCU
rnacentral:sRNA from 1 species